GAUGAACGCUGGCGGCGUGCCUAAUACAUGCAAGUCGAGCGAACAGACGAGGAGCUUGCUCCUCUGAUGUUAGCGGCGGACGGGUGAGUAACACGUGGAUAACCUACCUAUAAGACUGGGAUAACUUCGGGAAACCGGAGCUAAUACCGGAUAACAUGUUGAACCGCAUGGUUCAACAGUGAAAGACGGUCUUGCUGUCACUUAUAGAUGGAUCCGCGCCGCAUUAGCUAGUUGGUAAGGUAACGGCUUACCAAGGCAACGAUGCGUAGCCGACCUGAGAGGGUGAUCGGCCACACUGGAACUGAGACACGGUCCAGACUCCUACGGGAGGCAGCAGUAGGGAAUCUUCCGCAAUGGGCGGAAGCCUGACGGAGCGACGCCGCGUGAGUGAAGAAGGUCUUCGGAUCGUAAAACUCUGUUAUUAGGGAAGAACAAAUGUGUAAGUAACUAUGCACGUCUUGACGGUACCUAAUCAGAAAGCCACGGCUAACUACGUG
rnacentral:rRNA from 1 species